rnacentral:rRNA from 1 species
GAAUCAUCGAAUCUUUGAACGCACAUUGCGCCCGCUAGUAUUCUGGCGGGCAUGCCUGUCUGAGCGUCAUUUCAACCCUCGUCCCCGGCUUUUGCUGGGAGCGGUGUUGGGGAUCGGCCGCCCGUCACUGGGAGGCCGGCCCCGAAAUAGAGUGGCGACCACGCCGUGUGCUCCUCUGCGUAGUAGUAAAUCACCUCGCAGGCGGACAGCGGUGCGGCCUGCCGUAAAACCCCCAACUCUUUCUGGUUGACCUCAGAUCAGGUAGGAAUACCCGCUGAACUUAAGCAUAUCAAUAAGCGGAGGAAAAGAAACCAACAGGGAUUGCCUCAGUAACGGCGAGUGAAGCGGCAACAGCUCAAAUUUGAAAUCUGGCCCUAGGCCCGAGUUGUAAUUUGCAGAGGAUGUUUCUGGCGAGGUGCCUUCCGAGUUCCCUGGAACGGGACGCCAUAGAGGGUGAGAGCCCCGUACGGUUGGUCGCUAAGCCUCUGUGAAACUCCUUCGACGAGUCGAGUAGUUUGGGAAUGCUGCUCUAAAUGGGAGGUAUACGUCUUCUAAAGCUAAAUACCGGCCAGAGACCGAUAGCGCACAAG